UGCUUGUCUCAAAGAUUAAGCCAUGCAUGUGUAAGUGCAAGCCGAACUAAGGCGAAACCGCGAAAGGCUCAUUACAUCAGUUGUGGUUCCUUGGACCGUACCCAGUUACUUGGAUAACUGCGGAAAAUCUGGAGCUAAUACAUGCCGACAGAGUCCCGACCGGAGACGGGAGGGACGCUUUUAUUAGAUCAAAACCGAACCUCGUCGCGGGCCUCGCGCUCGCGGUCGAGACCCACCAAGGUGACUCUGAAUAACUUUGUGCGGAUCGCACGGCCUCUGCGCCGGCGACGCGUCCUUCAAAUGUCUGCCUUAUCAACUUUCGAUGGUAGGCUCUGCGCCUACCAUGGUUGUAACGGGUGACGGGGAAUCAGGGUUCGAUUCCGGAGAGGGAGCCUGAGAAACGGCUACCACAUCCAAGGAAGGCAGCAGGCGCGCAAAUUACCCACUCCCGGCUCGGGGAGGUAGUGACGAAAGAUAACGAUGCAGGGCUCUAAACGAGCCCCUGUAAUCGGAAUGACUACAUUUUAAAUCUCUUAAGGAGUAUCAAUUGGAGGGCAAGUCUGGUGCCAGCAGCCGCGGUAAUUCCAGCUCCAAUAGCGUAUAUUAAAGCUGUUGCGGUUAAAAAGCUCGUAGUUGGAUCUGUGCCCCGCACCCCCGGUCCCCGCUCUGCGGUGCGACUGGGAGGUCUGUGGGGCGUCCUGCCGGUGGGGGGUCUUGCCGGCGUCGGUUUCAAGUCGGCAUAGUGGGGAGGUCCCACACCCGCUUCGCUUCGGUGUCGCGCUGUGGUCAACCUCCACCCUCGACCCGACGUGUCAUCACGUGCGCUCCCGGUUACGUCAAAAAUAAUCCUGCCGAAGGUGCUCUUCAUCGGGUGUCGAGGCGGGCCGGCAUGUUUACUUUGAACAAAUUAGAGUGCUUAAAGCAGGCUUGUCUACGCCUGAAUGCUGUGUGCAUGGAAUAAUGGAAUAGGACCUCGGUUCUAUUUUCUUUUGGUUUUCUGAACCCGAGGUAAUGAUUAACGGAGACAGGCGGGGGCAUUCGUAUUGCGACGUUAGAGGUGAAAUUCUUGGAUCGUCGCAAGACGAACGGAAGCGAAAGCAUUUGCCAAGGAUGUUCUCGUUGAUCAAGAACGAAAGUCAGAGGUUCGAAGGCGAUCAGAUACCGCCCUAAUUCUGACCGUAAACGCUGCCAUCUGGUUAUUCGCCCACGUUACUACCAAUAUGACUGGGCGAGCAACCCUCGGGAAACCAAAGAUUUUGGGUUCCGGGGGAAGUAUGGUUGCAAAGCUGAAACUUAAAGGAAUUGACGGAAGGGCACCACCAGGAGUGGAGCCUGCGGCUUAAUUUGACUCAACACGGGAAACCUCACCAGGCCCGGACACUGGAAGGAUUGACAGAUUGAUAGCUCUUUCUUGAUUCAGUGGGUGGUGGUGCAUGGCCGUUCUUAGUUGGUGGAGCGAUUUGUCUGGUUAAUUCCGAUAACGAACGAGACUCUGGCCUGCUAACUAGUCGAUGAUUUUUCAAUCCGGCAUCCUCUUACGGCUGCCGGCGAAAACAACUCUUCUUAGAGGGACAGGCGGCUCCUAGCCGCACGAGAUUGAGCAAUAACAGGUCUGUGAUGCCCUUAGAUGUUCUGGGCCGCACGCGCGCUACAAUGAAGGUAUCAACGUGUGUUCCUUGGCCGAGAGGCCCGGGUAACCCGCUGAACCACCUUCGUGCUUGGGACUGGGGCUUGAAAUUGUUCCCCAUGAACGAGGAAUUCCCAGUAAAGGCGUGUCACUAGCACGCCUUGAUUACGUCCCUGCCCUUUGUACACACCGCCCGUCGCUACUACCGAUUGAAUGAAUUAGUGAGGUCUUCGGACCAGCGCGCGGUUCUCGUCCCUCGGGACCCCCGUCGCUGCAGGGAAGAUGAUCGAACUUGUUCAUUUAGAGGAAGUAAAAGUCGUAACAAGGUUUCCGUAGGUGAACCUG
rnacentral:rRNA from 1 species